AUUGAACGCUGGCGGCAGGCUUAACACAUGCAAGUCGAGCGGGGGAAGGUAGCUUGCUACCGGACCUAGCGGCGGACGGGUGAGUAAUGCUUAGGAAUCUGCCUAUUAGUGGGGGACAACAUCUCGAAAGGGAUGCUAAUACCGCAUACGUCCUACGGGCGAAAGCAGGGGAUCUUCGGACUUUGCGCUAAUAGAUGAGCCUAAGUCGGAUUAGCUAGUUGGUGGGGUAAAGGCCUACCAAGGCGACGAGCUGUAGCGGGUCUGAGAGGAUGGUCCGACAAACUGGGACUGAGACACGGCCCAGACUCCUACGGGAGGCAGCAGUGGGGAAUAGUGGACAAUGGGGGGAACCCUGAUCCAGCCAUGGCGCGUGUGUGAAGAAGGCCUUAUGGUUGUAAAGCACUUUAAGCGAGGAGGAGGCUACUCUAGUUAAUACCUAGGGAUAGUGGACGUUACUCGCAGAAUAAGCACCGGCUAACUCUGUGCCAGCCGCCGCGGUAA
rnacentral:rRNA from 1 species